CUGGCUCAGGAUGAACGCUGGCGGUAUGCUUAACACAUGCAAGUCGAACGGUCUCUUCGGAGAUAGUGGCGGACGGGUGAGUAACGCGUAAGAAUCUACCUUCAGGUUGGGGACAACCACUGGAAACGGUGGCUAAUACCCAAUGUGCCGAGAGGUGAAAGGCUUGCUGCCUGAAGAAGAGCUUGCGUCUGAUUAGCUAGUAGGUGAGGUAAGAGCUUACCUAGGCGACGAUCAGUAGCUGGUCUGAGAGGAUGAUCAGCCACACUGGGACUGAGACACGGCCCAGACUCCUACGGGAGGCAGCAGUGGGGAAUUUUCCGCAAUGGGCGAAAGCCUGACGGAGCAAUACCGCGUGAGGGAGGAAGGCUCUUGGGUUGUAAACCUCUUUUCUCAGGGAAGAAAAAAAUGACGGUACCUGAGGAAUAAGCAUCGGCUAACUCCGUGCCAGCAGCCGCGGUAAUACGGAGGAUGCAAGCGUUAUCCGGAAUGAUUGGGCGUAAAGGGUCCGCAGGUGGCAUUGUAAGUCUGCUGUUAAAGAGUUUGGCUCAACCAAAUAAAAGCAGUGGAAACUACAAAGCUAGAGUCUGGUCGGGGCAGAGGGAAUUCCUGGUGUAGCGGUGAAAUGCGUAGAUAUCAGGAAGAACAUCGGUGGCGAAGGCGCUCUGCUAGGCCAAAACUGACACUGAGGGACGAAAGCUAGGGGAGCGAAUGGGAUUAGAUACCCCAGUAGUCCUAGCCGUAAACGAUGGAUACUAGGCGUAGCUCGUAUCGACCCGAGCUGUGCCGUAGCUAACGCGUUAAGUAUCCCGCCUGGGGAGUACGCAGGCAACUGUGAAACUCAAAU
rnacentral:rRNA from 1 species